AUUGAACGCUGGCGGCAGGCCUAACACAUGCAAGUCGAACGAGUGGCGGACGGGUGAGUAAUGUCUGGGAAACUGCCUGAUGGAGGGGGAUAACUACUGGAAACGGUAGCUAAUACCGCAUACCAUCGGAUGUGCCCAGAUGGGAUUAGCUAGUAGGUGGGGUAAAGGCUCACCUAGGCGACGAUCCCUAGCUGGUCUGAGAGGAUGACCAGCCACGCUGGAACUGAGACACGUUCCAGACUCCUACGGGAGGCAUCAGUGGGGAAUAUUGCACAAUGGGGGCAGGCCUAGUGCAGCCAUGGCGCGUGUGUGAAGAAGGCCUGCGGGUAGUAAGGUAAAAGCAGCGGGGGGGCGUUACCCGCAGAAGAAGGACCGGCUAACGCCGUGCCAGCAGCCGCGGUAAUAC
rnacentral:rRNA from 1 species